UACGUAGGGUGCAAGCGUUGUCCGGAAUUAUUGGGCGUAAAGAGCUCGUAGGCGGUUUGUUGCGUCGGCUGUGAAAUCCCGAGGCUCAACCUCGGGUCUGCAGUCGAUACGAGCAAACUAGAGUGUUGCAGGGGAGACUGGAAUUCCUGGUGUAGCGGUGAAAUGCGCAGAUAUCAGGAGGAACACCGGUGGCGAAGGCGGGUCUCUGGGCAGUUACUGACGCUGAGGAGCGAAAGCGUGGGGAGCGAACAGG
rnacentral:rRNA from 1 species